AUCCCAGUAGCGUAAAGGAUACCGUGUUGGACUUCUAAUCCAAAGGUCGUGGGCUCGAAUCCCCUCUGGGGUG